ACUGAAUAUCCCCUACCUUGGCCACCUUCGUCAGUCCGUUUGUCCGCCUCGUCCUUAUCUUACCUAGUCGACCGAGAAAGACUACCGCGGCCUUCUCUCGUUCUCUCUCCUCCCACCUUACGGCUGUACCUUCUCCUUCUCCAUCCUCCUGCUUCUCUUCUUCUUCUUCCUCUUCCUUUGCCUGCUUCCAUAUAUCUUCGCAGUCUCUUCUUCCUCUUCUUUCCGUCCCUUUUUAUCCUUCCUCGUGUUCUUUACCCUUUUUCAUUUUUUCUUCUACCGCCUAUUCAGAUUCUGUGCAGUUGUUCCCUUCUCGUCUUACGGUCUUUUUCUGCUCUUUGUCGUGUUUUGCGCCGCUCUCCUAAUUCUUCCGCUCCUCGUUUUUCCUUCCACGCUUCUUCGCUGAUCUUCGCAGUCUGUUUCUAUCGUUUGCCGUUAACGUUGCUGCUUCUCCUCCCGGUUCUGAUCUCGCGAACUCGUCGAUCUCUUCCAACGCAAAAUCCAUCUCCAACGCGCUAGAGAGGAGGCUCGCGUUAGAUGCGUGCGCGCAGUUUCGCCGAUUGGUUUAGUAGCUUUUCGCGCCGAUCUGACGAGGGUACAAGGUUUAAUCGAAAUGUUAUUACACAGAGGAAGAAAUGGAGAUUCUACGGAGAUUUGGAAAUUUUCGUGUUUUUGAUUUUAGAGAUGUUUAGCUUUUGUCUUAGAGACGAGAAGAAAUUAGGGAAAUUACCGAUCGAUCGACAAACUUUUAACCGAAAUAUUGGAACAAAUAGUACUACUAAUUGUACGCGUUUUAGUUAAUUCUUAAUCUCAUAUAGAAAGCUAGGUGUAAAAUUGAAUGGAAUAAACGAGGAGAAGGAAACGUCGUUCGAAGUGGGAGGCGCCCGAUCAGCAACCAAUAGAAAGAGCCGCCACCCACGAAGCUAUAAAAAUUAAUUUAUCACAUGGAUCGCCGCCUACGCCAUUGCUCCGUUCGUGGACAUCUAGUUUCGCAGCAUCCCCCCAGAUAGCGCUACCUGUCGGGUCUUCCCCGAGGGCACCACGAAACGGAGAUACCAUACAGCUAAUUACCGUAUGAGUUAUCAGGAUAGAGAACUAACUUACCAACCGUAGUAACAACAUCGAAGAAGAAUUUCCAUAUCGUUGCGCGGAUUACUCGAUGCACAGAUGAGGUACGAGAAUAAACGUAACAUUCGAUGCUUUUUUGAGCCGCACGUAUCGGAAAUCGAUCAGUUGACCUCCCCCAUUUACCAUUUCGUCUGGCGCUCGACGUUAUCGAUUUAGUAUUAGCGCAGACGACGGACAAAAUAAAUCUAUCACCCAAUGUAAUUUUUUCAUCCACGGUUAGAGGGUCUCUAGAACUCCUUUAUCAUUUUAGUGUCAUUUCCAAUGUUACCGAUUUAGCGUACGAUAAGAUUACGGCGUUCGUAGUGAUUGAAAUUAGAACUAAAUUUUAACACGAAAUUACAAGCAGACUAGAGGGCAGAUCAUAAUUGUAAACGAAGUAUACACACAGUGGCGGUCAAGAGUAACAAACUAUAAAAAAUUUAAUAUUAUCGCAUUCUGAAAAACUUGUUAAAUAUGUAAUUAACGCGGAUUUAAUUAUUUAAACAACAGUAUCAGGUUUAUAUUAAAAUAUAAAUUAUAAGCAAAUUUUAAAUCUUUCGAAAGAAGGUUCGGUAAUCUACUUACGCACUUUUAAACUUUUACUUUGUAACGAAAGUUAUUUUAUUUCGUAACGAAAAGAUAGAGACGUCCAGUGAUACGGGUCCUUUUAUACUCUGGUCUUCCCUGUAGAGGAGAGGCUAGCUUACGUGGUGACCCCUACUGAUAUCGGAGAUGACAACACAAAACUCGCAUUCGCAUAUUUUGGAUGUCAAAUACGGAGCAGCGAUAGAUACAGAAGUUCUGAGUAAUUAUAUCGGUAAAACAGCAAGACGUCGGUACACGAACGUCACAAAUGUCACGUCUCUUCCAUACCUCGUCGGUGAUUACGUCACCGACGAGUCGUCUGUAGUAAUUCCUAUACAGAGGGCGUAAGAAACGCUCUGACUCUUUGGCAAGUCGGUAUUUCAUAACCUAAGACACAAAGCUCCAUUUAAUGUCCAUUUAACAUUGUAUCUUGAUCUUAGUCAAUGGUCUGAAAAUUCACUUCUGGUUGCAGUUAUCAUACUUCGAUAACAUUGCCGAGUAUCUUCGCUGUUAAAACAGUGAUUUUAUUAUCCUAAAGUUUAGCAACAAUCAUCGGUAAUUCUAGAGAUGUCGCGCGGAAUUCAAGAUCAUAAUUUGACCUUGGAAAUCAGUCGUUCUCCUUCACCUACUUACCGUUAGCGUGGAAUUAAAUUUAUUGAAUGUGACAUGUAAGCGAAAUAGAUACUUCUUGAUCUUUGCUAGUACUAGUGAUCUAAGGAAAACUUCUCCGGAGAACUUCGAUUUCAUUGAGAUAUACAUAUAUUUUAACUUUUGUAAGUCUUCUAUAUUUAAAAAGUCUAUGAUGAAGAAAUGAUGAAAUCGGAAUUAUACAUACAUAUGUAGUCUAUUUUUAAGCUUUAACUUUUUUACAAUUAUAUAAAUAUAGUUACAAUUAUAUAAAUAUGUAUAGAUAUAUACAGUUCUGAAUCAAAAAAUUAUUUUAAAUGUUUGUUUACCCCAUUAUUGGAGUAAAAGUGCGGGUAAAAUGGCGCAACAAUUGACUAAAAAAAAAAAA